UCCUCCAAGGCUAAAUACUCCUGACUGACCGAUAGUGAACCAGUACCGUGAGGGAAAGGCGAAAAGAACCCCGGCGAGGGGAGUGAAAAAGAACCUGAAACCGUGUACGUACAAGCAGUGGGAGCACCCUUUUGGGUGUGACUGCGUACCUUUUGUAUAAUGGGUCAGCGACUUAUAUUCUGUAGCAAGGUUAACCGAAUAGGGGAGCCGCAGGGAAACCGAGUCUUAACCGGGCGUUAAGUUGCAGGGUAUAGACCCGAAACCCGGUGAUCUAGCCAUGGGCAGGUUGAAGGUUGGGUAACACUAACUGGAGGACCGAACCGACUAAUGUUGAAAAAUUAGCGGAUGACCUGUGGCU
rnacentral:rRNA from 1 species